rnacentral:rRNA from 1 species
CCCGGGCCUUGUACACACCGCCCGUCACACCAUGGGGGUGGGUUGCACCAGAAGUAGCUAGUCUAACCUUCGGGGGGACGGUUACCACGGUGUGAUUCAUGACUGGGGUG